CUGAACGGAUGCAGACGGUUGUAUUAUCUGAACGCAUCCGUCUGUGCAGAUCAAUGACUGAUCCGCAUCAAACGUGAGUGUGAAAGUAGCCUUAGUUUUUUUCCUUUUUUAAAUUAUUGGAGUUAACUGGAAAAUGUUGGCAAAUAUUUUGUGCCUAUAGUCAAUAUUGCAUAUAAAAUUUUUUACAAACUUCAAAAUCUCUUGGAUGCCUGUACUAGGGUAAGUUCGGAAGUUGGAGGUAUUACAGUGCAAAUUUAAAAACACUUGUAGGAUCACUCAUUGAAGAUGAUGUCCAGGGGUUGUGUCUAGUAUUGUAGCUCUAGCCCAGUUCACUUGAAUGGCAGCACACAUGGCUUAUGUAUUAUUUUUUUUUCAUAGGAUGGCCAUCGCAUUCACCAUUUAAAUUGUGUCUGCAUAAUGCAUGAUUAUCUCUGCUUAAAUCAUCACACAGUCAAUUGGCCAUAUUGUAUUAUCUGUUAUGAAAUGGGAGCUGGGAGAAGAUUACUAGAAGAUCAGUAUCCAUCUUCUAGCAUCAGUAUGUGAUUAAACCAAUGGAAUAAAGUACAGCCAUGUGAAUGUGCAGCCUUAAAGGGGUUGUCUCAUCUCACAGUUACUAAGGCAAGAUGACACACAGUUGUGACCACCUUCCAGCAGGGAAACAGCAGAGUGCUCUGGCACGGUUUCAGUAGCUCUCAUUUUUGUGCAUGAAAGCUACUGAAACAUCAUAGUAGAGCAAUCUAUGCUGUUUCUCUAACUCAAACAGCAUAGCUUGUUGUACUACACUGUUUCAGUAGCUCUCAUGCACGGCAAUGAGAGCUACUGAAACAGCAGAGCGUUCUGCUGUUUCCUGGCUGGGACUUACAAUGCUAUCCCACCUCUACAUUUUAAUUCUCAAUCUCCUUCCUCAAGUGAAGUAAGGAUUUACACUAUUUUGGCCUACUUGACUGUUCAUUUAGAGCAGUUUUAGAAGGCCAUUUGGUAUGGAAUUUUUAAGUGCAAAACUGAACCUUCACUUAUUUAUGGCUAGGUUUUAGGUAACCGUUUGAUAAAUUAUUUUUUCAUUUGCAUCUAUUGUUUCCUGAUGAUUCCUUUAAAAAUGCAAUACCAGUUUGAUAUCUCCCACAAACACUAGUCUUUACUCCUGUUUGUUCACAGCCUCAUCAUAUCAAGUGCAUUGUGGCAUUCACUCGCCACCUUUCCUCCUGCUGUGAAAUUGUGGUGUCAUACAGUGAGGCAGCCCACUUCUUCCUACCACUCACCCCUUUUCCCUGUAAUUUGUCUUCAGUUCUUACUUUCUUAAUGCAGUUGCUAAAAUUGGGUCUUUUCAGGCACUGCAGCCUGUUGUGUGAUCUGAAAAAGGUUGCAGCUGCUUCCACUGAACCACACUACAGAUGAAUUUAUUUGUAGUCAGUAUCCACCAAGAAUUGAAUCAGGACUAAGGAUACAAGCUAUAAGGCAACCUUGUAUAGUUUAAUAUCCAUUAAAUGUGAGGAGAAUAAAAAAAAAGUAAGAAUUUAAUUGCAAUUCUUUUGAAAUGCUUUUAUGCUCUCAUGUUGUUCAGUUUCUGUAUAUACAAUGGUCAAAGCUAAUGAUCACCACACUUUACACAUUUCUGUCCCCAAACACCAAGAGUAUAAUAUUUUUUUAACUUUUCUCAACUUGAAACUUGUCAGGCUACUUUCACACAUGCAGCAUAGCCAUCCAGCAGGCUGUUCUUUGCUGGACAAAAACCGUUACAUGCAGCAAUGUUUGACCGGCCAAAUACCAGCAUCAAUGGGGUCUGGCAGGCAAGCAGCACUAUAAUGCGAGUUCCAGGAAACUCAGACAGGCUCUUCUCUGCUGGGACAGCCUGCCAGAUUGCUAUGUCACGUGUGAAACCUUAGUAAGUUACUUUUUAAAAUUUAACUCUUAACACACAC